GGAGGGGGCUAGCGUUGUUCGGAUUUACUGGGCGUAAAGGGCGCGUAGGCGGUAUGCCAUGUCAGGGGUGAAAGGCCUGGGCUCAACCCAGGAACUGCCUUUGAAACUGGCAAACUAGAGUCCGAUAGAGGAUGGCGGAAUUCCCAGUGUAGAGGUGAAAUUCGUAGAUAUUGGGAAGAACACCAGUGGCGAAGGCGGCCAUCUGGAUCGGCACUGACGCUGAGGCGCGAAAGCGUGGGGAGCAAACAGGGAUUAGAUACCCUGGUAGUCCACGCCGUAAACGAUGUGUGCUAGACGUUGGGGGGCCCGUUAGGCCCUGAGUGUCGCAGCUAACGCGUUAAGCACACCGCUGGGGAGUACGGCCGCAAGGUUA
rnacentral:rRNA from 1 species